rnacentral:rRNA from 1 species
UACGGAGGGAGCUAGCGUUGUUCGGAAUUACUGGGCGUAAAGCGCACGUAGGCGGCUUUGUAAGUUAGAGGUGAAAGCCCAGGGCUUAACCCUGGAAUUGCCUUUAAGACUGCAUCGCUAGAAUUGUGGAGAGGUAAGUGGAAUUCCGAGUGUAGAGGUGAAAUUCGUAGAUAUUCGGAAGAACACCAGUGGCGAAGGCGACUUACUGGACACAUAUUGACGCUGAGGUGCGAAAGCGUGGGGAGCAAACAGG